UUCAUCAAUAAUUAUGCAGAAUGUCAUGGUGAUGGUGCUGCUUUUUUGCAUCUCAUCUGAACCUUUACUAGAGCUUCCUGAAGGGGGUUGGAUUACCUUGCUUGCCUUUUCCAUGGAAGGACAUCAGCCAGCACAUUCUCUGGCACCAGGAAUUUGAGACCUCUCGAUUUUCCUCCCGUCACUCUGAGAUUCCCAGGGCCCCACUGGUCCGCUGGAGAGAAUAGGCCUGGCUCUCUGAGGGCCCAAAGGAUGCCUUGCCACUUUCCAUUAGCCAGAGAUGGCGCUGGGCACCGGCCCACUGUCCAGGCCCUUCCUCUGUAUUCCUCUUCUUCCUCGCCACCCUCCCCCUCCUCCCCCCCGUCGUCCUACCCUUCUUCCGUGCCUCUUCCCCCUUCCUCCCUUCGCUCCUCCCUCCCUCCUUCCCCACGAUCCGGCGGCCGGGGCGCGGGCCGGGCGCGCGCUGGGUGGUCCGGCGGCCGGGGGCGGGCGGUAGCCUGCAGGCGUAAUUGGCAUGCACGCCGUUGUAGCUG